rnacentral:rRNA from 1 species
GACGAACGCUGGCGGCGUGCUUAACACAUGCAAGUCGAACGGAAAGGCCCUGCUUUUGUGGGGUGCUCGAGUGGCGAACGGGUGAGUAACACGUGAGUAACCUGCCCUUGACUUUGGGAUAACUUCAGGAAACUGGGGCUAAUACCGGAUAGGAGCUCCUGCUGCAUGGUGGGGGUUGGAAAGUUUCGGCGGUUGGGGAUGGACUCGCGGCUUAUCAGCUUGUUGGUGGGGUAGUGGCUUACCAAGGCUUUGACGGGUAGCCGGCCUGAGAGGGUGAACGGCCAAAUUGGGAACUGGAUACCGCCCAGACUCCUACGGGAGGCAGCAGUGGGGAAUAUUGCACAAUGGGCGGAAGCCUGAUGCAGCAACGCCGCGUGCGGGAUGACGGCCUUCGGGUUGUAAACCGCUUUCGCCUGUGGCGAAGCGUGAGUGACGGUAAUGGGUAAAGAAGCACCGGCUAACUACGUG